UUAACUUCUCAAACUGCUUGUAUAUUUUAUAUCUAUAAUUGUAUUUUUUUCAUUCUGAAAAUCCUAAGAUUUUUCACAGUUAAUGAUUAAGUCUAAAUGGACAAUGUAAAGCAAACCAGUCAUAUUUCUUCUGUCUCUUCAUAAAAUACUAACUAAUAAAAUACUUUGCUAUUCUUUUUACCAGGUGAUUCAAUUAUUUAGCUAAUUACUUAAAUGUUGAGCGAAAGAGGGAUAUUGAGGUCGUUUUCACGCCUUGGAAUCAAUGUGGACAAAUUUAGGUUGCAGUUGUGAAGAGCGAUUAUGAUUUUGCCUUAAUUCAUGAUGAUGUAAGUAACCUGCCUAAAUUGGAGAUCUGCAAAAAGAAUUGAAAAGAAGUAUUUGAGCAACAAACCUAACAUUGCAAUAAUCCUUUUUUAUGUCUUGAUUUUUAAGUGACAGAUGUUUCAAAUCCCCAAGUAUGAGUAUACUUCCGACCAAAAGAGUUGUGAGACCCCUCUGAAAGCCUGCCAUAUGCAUGGAAAAGGUGGAUAUACAAGGUUUUUCCUCGUUAAUGUGUGCUUAUAGCACUUUUCUGGUAAUUAAAAAUGUUCUCUUAAAAUGUAUACUUCUGUUCUAAAUGUCACUCUUUCAAUCUGUAAUUCAAGUUGAUUUGAACUAGUGUAUGCAGUCCUUUAUUAGAUUCACAAUUUGAAGAGUUGUACUUUUAUCUAUGUGCUUAACCAUUGGUUGAAAUCUUAACCAGGUAUCUUGAUUGCAAUAUUAAUUCGAAGCAGCUUGUUCUCUUCUAGCUUUUGACUGGAUUCAACUUAUGAUUCAUAUUUGUCCCGGGGAAUGGUCUCACAGCAUUGUCUGCUUAAAGCUUUUCUGUGAGAUAUAUUUACCAGGACUUGUUUUGACAAUGAUGUAUACAGAUUCUCAUUUAGUUUGAAGAAAAUCUCUGUGCCGUAACAAGAUAACACUUCAGUCAUUGAUUUUGCAAUAUGUAUUAAAUAUAAUUGUAUAUUUUUAAAUUCAUAAAAAUAAUUAAGCUCUUUAUUUUCUGGCACGAUUGUAAGCUAUUAAUAUAAUUGAAGUCUUCUAUUGGAAUCUGAUCCACUGCAGAAUUUUAAGGUAACAUGAUUUCUAUUUUUCUAUCUAGAAAAAUGUAGUCACAUCUGCACCUGCAAGCAUCUUCAUAGAGUCAUCUGGCUACCAUACUCUUUGUCUAUAUAUUGUGUAAGAACAAAAAGAGAUAUACAUGCUUCAAAUUCUCUGAUCCAAUUUGAUAAAUUUUUUUUUUCUUACUAUUUCAUACUUUUUACAUAUGCUGUACUCAUACCACUAAAAAAGAAUAAAUAAAUCUAUUCAAAA